GUCAAGCACUACCACAGUUAGACCUCAGGAGUCAAGUCACCAGUGUUCUUCAUGGGCAAGGUCAAGUCACCAGUGUUCUUCAAGGGCAAAGUCAAGUCACCAAUGAUCUUCAUGAGCAAACCGAAUUUACUGAGCGCUCGACCUAUCCUGUCAUGGCCAUGAAGGCCAUCUACCAUCUCCUCAGGGCCACAGAGGCCACCCUUAACCUGUUCAUGUUCUCUAUUUCAGGCUUACCUAACCAGACUUG